AGAAUCAUGCUAUUCUUGAAGAUUAAGCCUGUAGGUGCCAAGUUCAUACAAUAUUAUUGUGAGACUGCGGACGGCUCAGUAAAUCAGUGAUUAUCUGUUUGAUUGUAUAACCCCAUUGGAUAACCGUGGGAAAUCUAGAGCUAAUACAUGCAGUUCAUUGGCGCAAAUCUUUGGGUUUGUGUCAAAGCAUUUAUUAGACUUUACCAACUAUUACAUGGGCAACCAUGUAGUAAGGCGAAUCUAGAUAACUUUGCUGAUCGUAUGGCCUUGUGCCGACGACGUUUCAAUUGAGUUUCUGCCCUAUCAACUUGUUGGUAAGGUAUUGGCUUACCAAGGUUGCAACGGGUAACGGGGAAUCAGGGUUCGAUUCCGGAGAGGGAGCCUGAGAAACGGCUACCACAUCCAAGGAAGGCAACAGGCGCGCAAAUUACCCAAUCUAGACAGUAGGAGGUGGUGAAGAGAAGUACUAAGUAGUGGUCCAAUGGAUUACUAGCUUGGAAUGAACGUAAUUUAAGCAAUUCGAUGAGUAACUACUGGAGGGCAAAGUCCUGGUGCCAACAGCCCGCGGUAAUUCCAGCUCCAAGUUGUGUGAUUUAAAAGUUGUUGCGUUUAAAACGCUCGUAGUUGGAUCACCCAGUGACAGUCGGUUAUUUUCGGUUAUACGCUAACUGUCGAUUUUUGUCCAGAUAUGCAAAUAGAUGGCACUAAUCUGAUGGGUAGACCGUAAAUAAAAACGCCGAAUGUUACUAUUUGCACGCAAGUAUGAUAGUUGACCUUAAAUGCGUUGAGUGUCAUGUCUUGCGGAGUGUGCCUUGAAUAAANCAGAGUGCUUAAAGCAGGCUAAAGCUUGAAUGUUAUAGCAUGGAACGAACAAACGUGUGACAGUACGUGUUUGGCAACGGCGAUGAGCUCAUGGUUUAUUGCUGUUGUCGAUGCGUACAGCACCUACCAAAAUAUGGAUGUUGGUUCCAUAUACGGUGAUGAUUAAAAGGAGCGGUUGGGGGCAUUGGUAUUUGGCCGCGAGAGGUGAAAUUCUUAGACCGGCCAAGGACUAACAAAUGCGAAGGCACUUGUCUAGACCGUUUCCAUUAAUCAAGAACGAAAGUGGGAGGUUCGAAGACGAUCAGAUACCGUCCUAGUUCCCACUGUAAACUAUGCCGACCUGGGAUCAGUUUGGAGAUAUUACAAGCUUCAGAUUGGUCCCCCUGGGAAACUUCAAGUUUUUCGGUUACGGGGAGAGUAUGGUCGCAAGGCUGAAACUUAAAGGAAUUGACGGAAGGGCACCACCAGGGGUGGAGCCUGCGGCUUAAUUUGACUCAACACGGGGAAACUUACCUGGUCCGGACAUCGAUAGGAUAGACAGACUGAUAGAUCUUUCUUGAUGCGAUGAGUGGUGGUGCAUGGCCGUUCUUAGUUCGUGGAGUGAUCUGUCAGGUUUAUUCCGGUAACGAACGAGACCACAUUCUCCAUUUAAGGCAUGGAAGUAGGCGGCUGGAUUAAUACUUUAGGGUAUUGAUUUGGUUGCUGGUGGUAAAAUUAGUGAUCCAUUGUAAAUUUAGCAAAGGGAGCAAUCUUGAUGCGAAGAUUUAUGUGGGGUAAUUAGUUUUCCCUUCCAUUUAGCAGUUUCUUACCUCGGUAGGACGCUGUCUUAUGGAGAGACAACGGGGAAUAUAUAAGCUCGAGGAAGAGUGGCUAUAACAGGUCAGUGAUGCCCUUCGAUGUUCAGGGCUGCACGCGCGCUACAAUGAUGACGACAGCAAGUAUCUGGGUUGAAAAACUUGGGUAAUCUCGAAUCGUCAUCGUGAUGGGGAUUGACCGUUGUAAUUAUCGGUCAUGAAAGAGGAAUCCCUAGUAUAUGUAUUUUAUUAGAAUACAUAGACUUAGUCCCUGCCCUUUGUACACACCGCCCGUCGCUACUACCGAGUGAAUGGUGUCAUGAUGCCUUGGGACUGGACGUGGGAUGGAUUCUCGGAUCUGUUCUACGCUGGGAUCAAUGUAAAAUGGCGCAAUUUCGAGGAAGUAAAA
rnacentral:rRNA from 1 species